CAUGUUUGGAAAUUGAUUUAAGCGAGAAGUUUGCAGGCUGACGACAUCUUUGCCAUGUGCAAUUCAAUCUUUGUAGGAUCUUGAAGCACAAACAAAGUGAUUGUUUGUGCUUUAUCUAAGUGAUUGUUUGAACAGUUUUAUAGCAUGCAUCUUGACAAUUAAUAUAAUUUUGAAGAUCACUAUCAAGGAAGAAUGUUCAAAGGAAAGUAAAGGCUAAGGAGAAGAUCACGUAAUUAACUACACGGGUCUAGUGAAAAUACUGAAGAAGUAUGACAAGAGAACAGGAGCACUUAUCAGGCAGCCCUUCAUCGAAAAGAAUGCGACGGACAAAAUGGAGUGCCAAAGCCGGCACAAUCAGGUGGGAGGGUUCCGGAGUUGGAGGAGAUUAAAUAUAUGCAGAGCUUAUACAUGAAGAGCACCGUAGCAGCGCUGCGGUCCU